rnacentral:rRNA from 1 species
GACGAACGCUGGCGGCGUGCUUAACACAUGCAAGUCGAACGGAAAGGCCCGGCGUUUGUGGGGUGCUCGAGUGGCGAACGGGGGAGUAACACGUGAGUAACCUGUCCUUGACUGUGGGAGAACUUCAGGAAACUGGGGCUAAUACCGGAUAGGAGCUCCUGCUGCAUGGGGGGGGUUGGAAAGUGUCGGCGGUUGGGGCUGGACUCGCGGCUUAUCAGCUUGUUGGUGGGGUAGUGGCUUACCAAGGCUUUGACGGGUAGCCGGCGUGAGAGGGUGACCGGCCACAUUGGGACUGAGGUACGGCCCAGACUCCUACGGGCGGCAGUAGUGGGGAAUAUUGCACAAUGGGCCGAAGCCUGAUGCAGCAACGCCGCGUGCGGGAUGCCGGCCUUCGGGUUGUAAACCGCUUUCGCCUGUGACGAAGCGUGAGUGACGGUACUGGGUAAAGAAGCACCGGCUAACUACGUG